rnacentral:rRNA from 1 species
GUAAUUCCAGCUCCAAUAGCGUAUAUUAAAAUUGUUGCAGUUAAAAAGCUCGUAGUUGAAGUUCUGCUAAAAGUAACCGGUCUGCUUUUAAUAAAAGUGGUAUCUUGGUAUGUAUUUAGCAAUGAUGUCCUUUGAAGUGUUUUUUACUUUAUUGUAAUAAAGCAUAUUCAGGACUUUUACUUUGAGAAAAUUAGAGUGUUUCUAGCAGGCCGACGCUUUGAAUACUGCAGCAUGGAAUAAUAAGAUAGGAUUUUAGUUCUACAUUGUUGGUUUUAAGAGCUAAAUUAAUGAUUGAUAGGGACAGUUGGGGGCAUUUGUAUUAAC